ACACCUUAUCAUGCAUAAUUCAGCACAAUCCCCAGUCAUACACGAUUGGAUAGACUGGCUGUCUGUUUGGUAGUGCUUGUUUGUAGAGACUGUGUCCAGCUCAAGGGGUUGCAUUCACUUUUAUGAGUUUUUCUACUUUUAAAACUCACUUAAACAUGAGAGGAAAUAUUUUAAUUGCCUCUGUGAUUUUGAUGUCUUUGUUUUGUUUGGGACAAACACUUGAGUGCUUUCGGUGUGAUCUUGGAUUCUGGAAUCUGUGUUACACCACUAAGACAAAUUGCAGUGAUGAUGAGUUGUGUUAUGUGGGAAUUGGUAAAGCAGCUUCUGUCCUGGAUAUAAAGGUGAUGGGUUGUCUUCCCAUGGAGUCAUGCAACAAGACCACAGUUGUAGAGUUUCUUGCCAAUAAGACCUUAUACACCAUGAAGACCAUGUGUUGUGAGGAAGACUUCUGCAACUC